GAUCAUGGCUCAGGACGAACGCUGGCGGCGCGCCUAACACAUGCAAGUCGAACGAGAGAGAGGGAGCUUGCUUCCUCAAUCGAGUGGCGAACGGGUGAGUAACGCGUGAGGGAACCUGCCUCAAAGAGGGGGACAACAGUUGGAAACGGCUGCUAAUACCGCAUAAGCCCACAGCUCGGCAUCGAGCAGAGGGAAAAGGAGCAAUCCGCUUUGAGAUGGCCUCGCGUCCGAUUAG
rnacentral:rRNA from 1 species